CUUAACCAAUCAGAAUGAAGUAAACAGGUGUAUCAAUCAUAUAGUAAUAAGUAACCUGUGUGAUGUCAAUCAUGUAAUACUGAGUAACCAGUCUGUAAGAAAGAGAAUAAAAGCAGCGGUCCGGGACUAUCCUGGGACGCCUCACUGCAGCCUUGUCUCGUCUCUGUUUCCCGAUACAACAUCUGGUGACCCCGACGUGAUCCAGACACAGGACCCCCGACUCAUCGGCUGGCUUAGCCUUGGUGCACCUCAGCGCAACGCGCUCCCUCAUUGCUGCAGUAUUACAACACAUUCGAACCCACAAGCCGACCCAGCCCAGCGCCAUUAUAGACAGACCGAGCCCCUUCCGGCGCCGAAGGUGAUAUAUCGCAAGUUGCCAGGACCAGAGUGGAGCCUGCCUGUGCCACUCAUCACCUGGGGCCGGGGCUACGCAGCAGUGUCAACUGAAA